GCUCGAUCGGCGUCUCGCCAAGUUCCGCUCGGUAGAAAAAGAAUCGUCAUGGGGCUUUGGGGGCACCUUGAACACCCUUAUCAUUUCCUGUAUCUGCGUUACCGACGGUUCACGAAAAAUAGACACGUCAGCAUGAAGCGAAUAUCCUGUAUACUUCAUUUCAACUACGAGUGCCGAAAAUUAUUUGGAGGCAAUAAGCAUGGGUAUUUACAACCGAAUAAUUUAUAUUCAAAUUGGCUGUAAACUGUGGAUUGUAUUGAAUUCAGAUGAACAAUAUCGUACCGGAAACAGUUUUGGUAUGAAAAAAGAAGGAUUGAAAGAGAUGAGAACAUGAAUGUAUGCAUAUGCCAGAGACACUUUUUUACAUCCUCCUUAUAGAGUGAUAUUGAUUAACCAUUUGAGAGAAGAAAAUACGAUUGUCACGAAUAUAGGUCGUAUUCGUUUCUUUGCGAUAUUUCAUUAUGUGCGAAACAAAAAUACAGCAUUCUAUUUAAAAGAAUUAAAAUCUAUGUAAACUCUAUGCAAACAAAAAAAACAAAGGAAAAAUACAUUUGACCCU